rnacentral:rRNA from 1 species
UAAGGAAUAUUGCGCAAUGGGCGAAAGCCUGACGCAGCGACGCCGCGUGAUGGAUGAAGUCCCUCUGGGACGUAAACAUCUUUUAUGAGGGAGAAAGUUUAUUGAUAGUACCUCACGAAUAAGGGGUUGCUAAACUCGUGCCAGCAGCAGCGGUAAUACGAGUGCCCCGAGCGUUAUCCGGAAUCAUUGGGCGUAAAGGGUGUGUAGGUGGCAUUGUUAGUCACACGUUAAACCCUGGGGCUUAACCCCAGAUCUGCGUGUGAUACGGCAAAGCUAGAGGAUGGCAGGGAUGUAUGGAACUCAUGGAGUAGGGGUGAAAUCCGUUGAUAUCAUGGGGAACACCGAAAGCGAAGGCAGUACAUUGGGCCACUCCUGACACUGAAACACGAAAGCGUGGGUAGCGAAUGGGAUUAGAUACCCGGGUAGUCCCUGAGCGGGCUGGCAAGGCGCAU